AGCCGGCCGGGCCUGGGAACGUGGCUGGUUGGAGGAGGUGGAUCACCGUUUCUGCGGUGGACGAUUUCGUCGGUGGUAGGUACCACGAGUGGAUGAAAUCAGAGGAGCUGCAGCGUUUGACAGCCUCAGAGCCGCUGACCCUGGAGCAGGAGUAUGCCAUGCAGCGCAGCUGGCGGGAAGAUGCAGACAAGUGUACCUUCAUUGUGCUGGAUGCCGAGAAGUGGCAGGCCCAGCCAGGCACCACUGAAGAGAGCUGCAUGGUGGGAGAUGUGAACCUCUUCCUCACGGAUCUAGAAGACCCCACCUUGGGGGAGAUCGAGGUCAUGAUUGCAGAAUGGUAAUGAUAGUAGCAACUUCAGUUGUUGAGAAUUAAAUGAGAUGGUGUCUGUCAAGUGCCCACACUGGAGCCUGGCACAUGGCGUCAGUACCGCUCCUGUUGUCUCUCCUAGAGCCCAGCUGCA
rnacentral:sRNA from 1 species